rnacentral:rRNA from 1 species
GGCUUAUUGAUUAUAAUUUUAGGUCUGACCUGCCCAAUGAUUGUUUAAAUGGCUGCGGUAUAUUAACCGUACAAAGGUAGCAUAAUCAUUUGUUUUUUAAUUGAAAGCUUGAAUGAAAGGUUUGAUGAAAAAAUUUCUGUCUCUGUAAAAAUUAAUUAGAAUUUUAUUUUUAAGUGAGAAAGCUUAAAUAAUAAUAGAAGACGAGAAGACCCUAUAGAGUUUUAUAUUUUAUAAUAUAAGUGUAAAUUUGUAAAAAAGAAUUUUUAUAUUAUCAAAUAUUUUGUUGGGGUGAUAGAAAAAUUUAAAGAACUUUUUUUAAAUUAAAUCACUAAUUUGUGAAUUUAUGAUCCUUAUUUAAAGAUUGAAAGAUUAAAUUACCUUAGGGAUAACAGCGUAAUUUUUUCUAGAGUUCUUAUCGAAAGAAAAGAUUGCGACCUCGAUGUUGGAUUAAAAUUAAUUUUUGGUGAAGUUGCUAGAAAAUUAGGUCUGUUCGACCUUUAAAAUUUUACAUGAUCUGAGUUUAAACCGGUGUGAG